GGCUGGUCCAAGUACAGGGAUGUUUACAACUGAUUGAUCACAACCAGUUACAAAUUCUUUGUUCCUUCCCUGCUCCCGCUGCUUCUGUUGACUGGCCUCAA
rnacentral:Y_RNA from 1 species